UUUUUUUCGUUUGUUUUCUCUGGAGAGCUGCAGAAAUGACAUGUUUACAAUUCCAGGGAUUGGGAUUCCAUUACCCCACAGCGCCACAGACACAAAUUAUAAGUGGCGCCCUUCCACUCCUCUGCUCUUUUUAUGCAGCGGCUUAAAUGGAAGAAUCCCACUUAUGUUAUAUAUAUUAGGAUGGGGAAGUGCCGAUCCCCCACUUCGAAUGAGCCAACACCCUCCCCACUCCUAUCUCUUUUGCACAUAA